UACGGGGGAUGCGAGCGUUAUCCGGAUUUAUUGGGUUUAAAGGGCGCGUAGGCGGGACGUCAAGUCAGCGGUAAAAGACUGCAGCUAAACUGUAGCACGCCGUUGAAACUGGCGCCCUGGAGACGAGACGAGGGAGGCGGAACAAGUGAAGUAGCGGUGAAAUGCAUAGAUAUCACUUGGAACCCCGAUAGCGAAGGCAGCUUCCCAGGCUCGGUCUGACGCUGAUGCGCGAGAGCGUGGGUAGCGAACAGG
rnacentral:rRNA from 1 species